rnacentral:rRNA from 1 species
GACGAACGCUGGCGGCGUGCUUAACACAUGCAAGUCGAACGCUGAAGCUCAGCUUUUGUUGGGUGGAUGAGUGGCGAACGGGUGAGUAACACGUGAGUAACCUGCCCCCUUCUUUGGGAUAACGCCCGGAAACGGGUGCUAAUACUGGAUAUUCACUGGUCUUCGCAUGGGGGUUGGUGGAAAGGGUUUUUCUGGUGUGGGAUGGGCUCGCGGCCUAUCAGCUUGUUGGUGGGGUGAUGGCCUACCAAGGCUUUGACGGGUAGCCGGCCUGAGAGGGUGACCGGUCACAUUGGGACUGAGAUACGGCCCAGACUCCUACGGGAGGCAGCAGUGGGGAAUAUUGCACAAUGGGCGCAAGCCUGAUGCAGCGACGCCGCGUGAGGGAUGGAGGCCUUCGGGUUGUGAACCUCUUUCGCUCAUGGUCAAGCCGCAACAAUGGUUGUGGUGAGGGUAGUGGGUAAAGAAGCGCCGGCUAACUACGUG